rnacentral:rRNA from 1 species
GGGGGUGGCGUCGCUAACACAUGCAGUCGAACGGUGAACACGGAGCUUGCUCUGUGGGAUCAGUGGCGAACGGGUGAGUAACACGUGAGCAACCUGCCCCUGACUCUGGGAUAAGCGCUGGAAACGGCGUCUAAUACUGGAUAUGUGACGUGACCGCAUGGUCUGCGUUUGGAAAGAUUUUUCGGUUGGGGAUGGGCUCGCGGCCUAUCAGCUUGUUGGUGAGGUAAUGGCUCACCAAGGCGUCGACGGGUAGCCGGCCUGAGAGGGUGACCGGCCACACUGGGACUGAGACACGGCCCAGACUCCUACGGGAGGCAGCAGUGGGGAAUAUUGCACAAUGGGCGAAAGCCUGAUGCAGCAACGCCGCGUGAGGGAUGACGGCCUUCGGGUUGUAAACCUCUUUUAGCAGGGAAGAAGCGAAAGUGACGGUACCUGCAGAAAAAGCGCCGGCUAACUACGUGCCAGCAGCCGCGGUAAUACGUAGGGCGCAAGCGUUAUCCGGAAUUAUUGGGCGUAAAGAGCUCGUAGGCGGUUUGUCGCGUCUGCUGUGAAAUCCCGAGGCUCAACCUCGGGCCUGCAGUGGGUACGGGCAGACUAGAGUGCGGUAGGGGAGAUUGGAAUUCCUGGUGUAGCGGUGGAAUGCGCAGAUAUCAGGAGGAACACCGAUGGCGAAGGCAGAUCUCUGGGCCGUAACUGACGCUGAGGAGCGAAAGGGUGGGGAGCAAACAGGCUUAGAUACCCUGGUAGUCCACCCCGUAAACGUUGGGAACUAGUUGUGGGGUCCAUUCCACGGAUUCCGU